GAUGAACGCUGGCGGCGUGCCUAAUACAUGCAAGUCGAGCGAACAGACGAGGAGCUUGCUCCUCUGACGUUAGCGGCGGACGGGUGAGUAACACGUGGAUAACCUACCUAUAAGACUGGGAUAACUUCGGGAAGCCGGAGCUAAUACCGGAUAAUAUAUUGAACCGCAUGGUUCAAUAGUGAAAGACGGUUUUGCUGUCACUUAUAGAUGGAUCCGCGCCGCAUUAGCUAGUUGGUAAGGUAACGGCUUACCAAGGCAACGAUGCGUAGCCGACCUGAGAGGGUGAACGGCCACACUGGAAAGGAGACACGGUCCAGACUCCUACGGGAGGCAGCAGUAGGGAAUCUUCCGCAAUGGGCGAAAGCUUGACGGAGCAACGCCGCGUGAGUGAUGAAGGGCUUCGGAUCGUAAAACUCUGUUAUUAGGGAAGAACAAAUGUGUAAGUAACUAUGCACGUCUUGACGGUACCUAAUCAGAAAGCCACGGCUAACUACGUG
rnacentral:rRNA from 1 species